CUGAUUAUUCAUUAAACAUUCACUGUUUUAUGCACCUCACUGUGCCAUGUUCAUUGCAGUUUUCAAGUGUGAAUCUAUUCCUUGGUGCAUGCGAAGCAGGUAAAGCUCCAUCAACAAGGAAGCAUUUGGAAAUUGCAGGAAUGGCAUGCGGGAGAGAAGAGGGUCAACACAUGACCGCUAAUGUGAUUAAUUAAAGGGCUUAGAAUAAACGACAGUGUCACAGUCUUCCCAGGAGUCUCACUGCCUUUCCACAAGGGUGGGGGGCUGGUUUGUGCCCCGAAAGAAAAGCACGGCCCAUAGUACAGAGCUAGGAGCCUCCUGCACCCCCAUUAAGUGCUUUUUAGUAUAAGCCAGAUAAAGUGUGACGCCUCACCUGACCUUUGCCAGGUAAGCUACUAAGUGCUUUAUGGAUAUUAUUUCAUUGAAUCCUCAUAACAACCCUCUUCAGUAGAUACUACGAGGUAGACGCCA